rnacentral:rRNA from 1 species
GACGUAGGGGGCAAGCGUUGUUCGGAAUUAUUGGGCGUAAAGCGCUCGUAGGCGGGACAGGAAGUUCGUGUUGAAAGACCUCGGCUCAACUGAGGGACCGGCUCGAAUACUCUUGUUCUUGAGGCAAUCAGAGGGUGAUGGAAUUCCCGGUGUAGCGGUGAAAUGCGUAGAUAUCGGGAGGAGCACCAGUGGCGAAGGCGAUCACCUGGGGUUGUUCUGACGCUGAGGAGCGAAAGCUAGGGGAGCAAACGGG